UUGUGAAGAAGGUGCCUUGCUUCCCCUUUGCCUUCCACUAUGAUUGUGAGUUUCCUGAGGCCUCCCCAGCCAUGCUGAACUAUGUGUUCGGAGUUUCUUCCUUCUGGUGGGUUCGUGGUCUCGCUGGCUCAGGAGUGAAGCUGCAGACCUUCACGGUUGAGUGUUACAGCUCUUAACGCAGCGCUUGUGGAAUUGUUCGUUCCUCCCGGUGGGCUCGUGGUCUGGCUGGGCUCAGAAAUGAAGCUGCAGAUUUUCACGCUUCCAGAAGGAUAAAAAAGGAAGAAGCAAAAAGCCACUUAUACCUCUGUUUCCAAAACAUGAUGUCACUAUAAUGAAGACAAGCAACAGGACCACAGAGAGAUGCCUUCAUUCAGCCUCAAGUAUCCACAGAAAAUUAUUAUUAUCACCCCCACCACACACACACAUACCACCAAAAAAAAAAAAAAAAAAAAAAACCUCUGCAAGAUUUUUCAACUUUAUCCUAGAGAGAGCCAAAACAAACUGUAUUUUCUGGUAAGAAGAAAAUUGGUGUUCAAAACCAUAGAAAGCAUAGAUACAAAUUAUAAAUUAUAGUUCUGAAUAUUCAUACUUGUAUUCAUUAGAUUUCAUUGCCUCGGUUAUUGGCCAUGUUGUUAUGAGUAUAGAUAUGAAUCAAAGAUAAGGAGUAUUGAUUUUUGAAACCAACCCUUCAUCUUACCCUUAGUGCCACCAUUUUAUAGUUGUGUGAUUCUGAAGAAUACCAAACAAGUAUCUGGUAAAUAUAAAAUUUAUACACUUUCUGCAUAUAU
rnacentral:lncRNA from 1 species